AUUGAACGCUGGCGGCAGGCCUCACACAUGCAAGUCGAAAGAGUUGCGGACGGGUGCGUCAUGUCUGGGAAAAUGCCAGAUGGAGGGGGAUAACUACUGGACACGGUAGCUAAUACCGCAUACCCUCGGAUGUGCCCAGAUGGGAUUAGCUAGUAGGUUGGGUAACGGCUCACCUAGACGACGAUCCCUAGCUGGGCUGAGAGGAUUCCCAGCGACACUGGAACUGAGACACGGUCCAGACUCCUACGGGAGGCAGCAGUGGGGAAUAUUGCACAAUGGGCGCAAGCCUGAUGCAGCCAUGCCGCGUGUAUGAAGAAGGCCUUCGGGUUGUAAAGUACUUUCAGCGAGGAGGCGUUACUCGCAGAAGAAGCACCGGCUAACUCCGUGCCAGCAGCCGCGGUAAUAC
rnacentral:rRNA from 1 species